GAUGAACGCUGGCGGCGUGCCUAAUACAUGCAAGUCGAGCGAACGGACGAGAAGCUUGCUUCUCUGAUGUUAGCGGCGGACGGGUGAGUAACACGUGGAUAACCUACCUAUAAGACUGGGAUAACUUCGGGAAACCGGAGCUAAUACCGGAUAAUAUUUUGAACCGCAUGGUUCAAAAGUGAAAGACGGUCUUGCUGUCACUUAUAGAUGGAUCCGCGCUGCAUUAGCUAGUUGGUAAGGUAACGGCUUACCAAGGCAACGAUGCAUAGCCGACCUGAGAGGGUGAUCGGCCACACUGGAACUGAGACACGGUCCAGACUCCUACGGGAGGCAGCAGUAGGGAAUCUUCCGCAAUGGGCGAAAGCCUGACGGAGCAACGCCGCGUGAGUGAUGAAGGUCUUCGGAUCGUAAAACUCUGUUAUUAGGGAAGAACAUAUGUGUAAGUAACUGUGCACAUCUUGACGGUACCUAAUCAGAAAGCCACGGCUAACUACGUGCCAGCAGCCGCGGUAAUACGUAGGUGGCAAGCGUUAUCCGGAAUUAUUGGGCGUAAAGCGCGCGUAGGCGGUUUUUUAAGUCUGAUGUGAAAGCCCACGGCUCAACCGUGGAGGGUCAUUGGAAACUGGAAAACUUGAGUGCAGAAGAGGAAAGUGGAAUUCCAUGUGUAGCGGUGAAAUGCGCAGAGAUAUGGAGGAACAGCCAGUGGCGAAGGCGACUUUCUGGUCUGUAACUGACGCUGAUGUGCGAAAGCGUGGGGAUCAAACAGGAUUAGAUACCCUGGUAGUCCACGCCGUAAACGAUGAGUGCUAAGUGUUAGGGGGUUUCCGCCCCUUAGUGCUGCAGCUAACGCAUUAAGCACUCCGCCUGGGGAGUACGACCGCAAGGUUGAAACUCAAAGGAAUUGACGGGGACCCGCACAAGCGGUGGAGCAUGUGGUUUAAUUCGAAGCAACGCGAAGAACCUUACCAAAUCUUGACAUCCUUUGACAACUCUAGAGAUAGAGCCUUCCUCUUCGGGGGACAAAGUGACAGGUGGUGCAUGGUUGUCGUCAGCUCGUGUCGUGAGAUGUUGGGUUAAGUCCCGCAACGAGCGCAACCCUUAAGCUUAGUUGCCAUCAUUAAGUUGGGCACUCUAAGUUGACUGCCGGUGACAAACCGGAGGAAGGUGGGGAUGACGUCAAAUCAUCAUGCCCCUUAUGAUUUGGGCUACACACGUGCUACAAUGGACAAUACAAAGGGCAGCGAAACCGCGAGGUCAAGCAAAUCCCAUAAAGUUGUUCUCAGUUCGGAUUGUAGUCUGCAACUCGACUACAUGAAGCUGGAAUCGCUAGUAAUCGUAGAUCAGCAUGCUACGGUGAAUACGUUCCCGGGUCU
rnacentral:rRNA from 1 species